GCAAGUCGAUCGAGAAAGUCACCUUCGGGUGGCGAGUAGAGAGGCAGACGGGUGAGUAACAAGUGGGUAAUCUGCCUUCAGGUGGGGGAUAACCAUUCGAAAGGAUGGCUAAUACCGCAUGAGACCACGGCUCUUAGGAGUAGUGGUUAAAGACUUCGGUCGCCUGAUGAGGAGCCCGCUCCCGAUUAGCUAGUUGGUGAGGUAAUGGCUUACCAAGGCAACGAUCGGUAGCUGGUCUGAGAGGAUGAUC
rnacentral:rRNA from 1 species